UAUUUUUUUUUUAAUUUGAAUUGUUAAAUUUACAUUUAGGAAGGGUGUGACAGAGGUGGUGUGACAGAGGUGCAAAAAUUUGUCAGGCUGAAAAGUUUAGGAAGGGUGCUUGUGAAAAGAGUAUGAAUUAGAUGGAAUUGAUUGGACAAAAGUAGAUUUUGAAGACAACCAAGAGUGUUUGGAUCUCUUUGAGAAGAAACCUAUAGGGCUAAUAUCUUUGUUGGAUGAAGAUUCAAAUUUCCCCAAGGCCACUGAUUUGGCCUUUGCUAAUAAGCUUAAGCAACACUUGAGUGGUAAUCCUUGCUUUAAAGGAGAAAGAGGUGGAGCUUUUGGU